rnacentral:rRNA from 1 species
GACAGAGGGUGCAAACGUUGUUCGGAAUUAUUGGGCGUAAAGAGCUCGUAGGCGGUCUGUCGCGUCGGAUGUGAAAAUCCAGGGCUCAACCCUGGACCUGCAUUCGAUACGGGCAGACUAGAGUUCGGUAGGGGAGACUGGAAUUCCUGGUGUAGCGGUGAAAUGCGCAGAUAUCAGGAGGAACACCGGUGGCGAAGGCGGGUCUCUGGGCCGAAACUGACGCUGAGGAGCGAAAGCGUGGGGAGCAAACAGG